GGCACAGGACGUAGAGGACAUGGCUGUCUGC
rnacentral:piRNA from 1 species